rnacentral:sRNA from 1 species
GCUGGGCACAGUGGUGCAUGCCUGUAAUCCUAGCAGUUUAGGAGGCUGAGACAGGACGAUUGUGGGUUCAAAGCCAGCCUCAGCAAUUUAGUGAGGCACUAAGCAACUCAGUGAGACCCUGUCUCUG